CGUAUAUGUCAUGGAGAUCGUCUGCAACAGCUAACAGGAGACCAACUCAACGCAUUGUCACACCCAAAAAUUCAGUACCCAUCCAUCCGGAUCCGAAUUCCAAACCCGUCCUUCACUUUCUGGCCUCCGGGCUCAUCAUCUUCCUCGGACUACUCCAAUUCUUGCCGGCUUCUCAUUUCCGCGACCCGUCCGACCCUCUCAGAAAGUGGGUCGCUUUUAACUCCCAGCCCUCUUCUGCCGCCGUCGAUGAAUACGACGGCGUGAUACACAUCAUUUCGUGGAUGCGAUGUUUGGACCUUAAAGUGUUGUCUGUCUUUACAAACUCAACUCUUUAUAGUUCCAGAUAUCCGGACCUGCUUCACUUUCAUUUCUUUACACCACAAGGGACAAAGACAAAGUUCCUUUUAUAAGCUGAAAGUUGUAUUUCCACAUUCAAACAUUGAACUUCAUGGGUAAAGAUAAUCUUUUUUUUUCUUUUCUUACUAUCAUUCAUUAUUACACACUUGCAGAGUUCAUGUCUUGGAUUGUCAAAUUUUGUAGGCAAGAGGAAGUGAAAGAAGCAAUUAAGAGGGCUUCUGCUAGAGUUGAACAUGACAGUCUCAGUCUUGAGGAAAUAACACCUUUCAUUAUACCAAGUGUUCAUCAGUCUCUAAGAAAAUUCUUAUAUGUUUCCCCCAAUCUAAUUUUGAUGGGAAGAAUAGAAGAGCUAACUGGGAUUGACUUAGCCGGCCAUGGCGUUGCAGCUGCUGAGGACUGCUCUAAAAGGCUAAAUAGCUACGUGAACUCGGAUGUCUCGGAUGCUAUCCAAAGAUCGGCUUCGAAGCCAUGAAUAUCCAUCACACCAUAUGAGAAGGAU